CCUAUUAGCUCAGUUGGUUAGA
rnacentral:siRNA from 1 species